rnacentral:rRNA from 1 species
GAUGAACGCUAGCGGUAGGCUUAAUACAUGCAAGUCGUGGGGCAGCAUGAUGUAGCAAUACAUUGAUGGCGACCGGCAAACGGGUGCGGAACACGUACACAACCUUCCUUUUAGUGGGGAAUAGCCUAGAGAAAUUUGGAUUAAUACCCCAUAACAUAUAGAGAUGGCAUCAUCUUAAUAUUAAAGCUUCGGCGCUAGAAGAUGGGUGUGCGGCUGAUUAGGUAGUUGGCGGGGUAACGGCCCACCAAGCCUACGAUCAGUAGCUGAUGUGAGAGCAUGAUCAGCCACACGGGCACUGAGACACGGGCCCGACUCCUACGGGAGGCAGCAGUAAGGAAUAUUGGACAAUGGACGAAAGUCUGAUCCAGCCAUGCCGCGUGAAGGAUUAAGGUCCUCUGGAUUGUAAACUUCUUUUAUUUGGGACGAAAAAAGAUCAUUCUUGAUCACUUGACGGUACCAGAUGAAUAAGCACCGGCUAACUCCGUGCCAGCCGCCGCGGUAAAAC